AUAUUUGAGAGUUUGAUCCUGGCUCAGGAUGAACGCUGGCGGCGUGUUUUAGGCAUGCAAGUCAAGGGGGUAUUGAGCCGCAAGGCUCGAUACAACCGGCAAACGGGUGCGUAACACAUUGGUAACCUACCCCAAAGUUCGGAACAACCGGCCGAAAGGCUGGCUAAUCCCGGAUGCGCUUUUUCCGCUUCGGCGGGAUAAGCAAAGGCGCAAGCCGCUUUGGGAGGGGCCUAUGGUCCAUCAGCUAGUUGGUGGGGUAACGGCCUACCAAGGCAACGACGGAUAGCGGGCGUGAGAGCGCGACCCGCCUCACUGGGACUGAGACACUGCCCAGACUCCUACGGGAGGCUGCAGUCAAGAAUCUUCCCCAAUGGCCGAAAGGCUGAGGGAGCGACGCCGC
rnacentral:ncRNA from 1 species